rnacentral:lncRNA from 1 species
CCCGGAGCAGUAGCUAAUGAGAGGUGCUGAGAAGGAACUGCCUUGUAAGGAGAUGGUCAUGGAGAUGAACCACAUCCAAAGUGCAGGAAAGUUCCAUUGCAGCUGCUAAACCUGGGAAACUUCCUUGUAUACAAGUAGGCUUUUGGGCUUCAAUUUGAUGCCACAGCAGCUCUGCAGGGAGGAAGACACUUUUCCUUUUCCUUGUGGUGUUUGUCUGCCCUGCCAGGUGUCUGCAGCAGGGGGAAGGAGCCAGGGCUGUGGCCAGGAGCACCAUGGCUGGUGUUGAACUGAACAGGGAGAGGAUCACAGCUCUUCUAACAGGUCACAUAUUUAGCACAGAAGCUUUCUGGCCCAGAAAUGCCAGCUGCCCCAAACCCCAAUUGAUUCCAGCUGCAGGAAUCUCUGUUUGCUCCAGUAUCAUCUUUCUUUUGUCAUGGAGCUCCUGUCUGAGACCUUCCAAAGCUGCAGAAAAUGCUUCCUGCACAAGAGAAAUCAGCUCAUGUCUCAGGAGGGCCCAGACUGCAAUCUGUAGCCCACAAACUGGUGAGUGAGAGCCAGACCCUGGGAG